rnacentral:rRNA from 1 species
GUGCACCAGGCGCGAAACCUCCGCAAUACACGAAAGUGUGACGGGGCCAUCCCGAGUGCCGUCCGCUGAGGACGGCUUUUCCCCAGUGUACACAGCUGGGGGAAUAAGGAGAGGGCAAGCCUGGUGUCAGCCGCCGCGGUAAUACCAGCUCUCCGAGUGGUGGGGACGCUUAUUGGGCCUAAAGCAUCCGUAGCCGGCUGGGCAAGUCCUCCGUUAAAUCCAACGAUUCAAUCGUUGGGCUGCGGGGGAUACUGUCCAGCUUGGGGGCGGGAGAGGCCGACGGUAUCCCCGGGGUAGGGGUGAAAUCCUAUAAUCCCGGGAGGACCACCAGUGGCGAAGGCUGUCGGCUAGAACGCGCCCGACGGUGAGGGAUGAAAAGCUGGGGGAGCGAACCGGAUUAGAUACCGCGUAG